GUCUGCGUGUGUACCUAGGCGCUUAUCGGUUGGCGGAUCUUCGGCAGUAGGAGCCAGUGGCAGCCUCCAGCAGCACCAGUUCCCAGCCGUAUGCCAUCAGUGGAGCGCUCAGCAUGCUACAGCAGUCGCCAGUUUCGCCGAAGGUAACCAGCUGCACGACCAAGGUGUGGCAGUGAAGAAGCAUAAGCGCCUGAUAGAUGACAUGCUCGUGCGAGAUCUGCGCCCGGACAUUCACUUUCCGGGAGAGCGAUGAUUUCUGGCCCACCACGAAAUAUACCAAAAUAUACCGUCUGCAAUCUAGUUAUCUGCAUAUAUUUUAAAACUGGUUCAAAUACCAAAUAUAUUGAACUAGUUCUUUGAUAACUGACAAAAGCUCUUUUACCCAGAAUGCGAAAUCUACCAGCUCGCAAUGUGACCGUGGAAAUAUACCGUAAGGAUACCGAAAUAUUAAUUAAAUAUACUGAGAACAGAACACAGACCGCUUACGGUAUUUUAAAA